rnacentral:misc_RNA from 1 species
UAAUUUUGAAUUACAUAUGAUUCCCUGAGAAUUUGUGCACAUUUGCAAGUAAAUGUUUACUUAAACACUAUUUAAACAUAGAUUAUUUAGCAAGAAAGCAAGAAAGAUUUGAAAAAUCCUUAUCUUUGCUGGACCCCAAUAUAAUUCAAGUGUACUAUUAGGGACCCAAAAGCGAAACAAGAAAUUUUUAGCUGAUAGUACCACAUGGAAG